AUACGGAGGGUGCAAGCGUUAUCCGGAAUCAUUGGGUUUAAAGGGUCCGUAGGCGGAUAAUUAAGUCGGAGGUGAAAUCCCACAGCUCAACUGUGGAACUGCCUUUGAUACUGGUUGUCUUGAAUUAUAGUGAAGUAGAUAGAAUAUGUAGUGUAGCGGUGAAAUGCAUAGAUAUUACAUAGAAUACCGAUUGCGAAGGCAGUCUACUAACUGUAUAUUGACGCUGAUGGACGAAAGCGUGGGGAGCGAACAGGAUUAGAAACCCUAGUAGUCC
rnacentral:rRNA from 1 species